rnacentral:rRNA from 1 species
AGUGAACGCUGGCGGCGUGCCUAAUACAUGCAAGUCGAACGGAGUGGCGCACGGGUGAGUAAUAUAUAGCUAAUCUGCCCCUUGCUGGAGGACAACAGUUAGAAAUGACUGCUAAUACUCCAUAGCAAGGGAUGAGACUAUAUCGUAUCAGCUAGUCGGUGGGGUAACGGCCUACCGAGGCUAUGACGCGUAACUGGGCUGAGAGGAUGAUCAGUCACAUUGGAACCGGGACACAGUCCAAACUACUACGGGAGGCAGCGGUAGUGGAUAUUGCGCAAUGGGGGAAACACAGGCGAAGCAACGCGGCAUGGAGGAUGACACUUUUCGGAGCGUAAACUCCUUUUGUUAGGAAAGCGGUAUCUAACCAGAAAGCCACGGCUAACUACGUGCCAGCAGCCGCGGUAAUUC